rnacentral:rRNA from 1 species
GAUGAACGCUAGCGACAGGCCUAACACAUGCAAGUCGAGGGGCAGCACAUGAGUAGCAAUACGAUGGUGGCGACCGGCGCACGGGUGAGUAACACGUAUGCAACCUGCCUUCUACUAUGGGAUAACCCGUUGAAAGACGGACUAAUACCGUAUAAUACAGGGGCUCCGCAUGGAGAUAUUUGUUAAAGAUUUAUUGGUAGAAGAUGGGCAUGCGUAUGAUUAGAUAGUUGGUGAGGUAACGGCUCACCAAGUCAACGAUCAUUAGGGGUUCUGAGAGGAAGGUCCCCCACACUGGUACUGAGACACGGACCAGACUCCUACGGGAGGCAGCAGUGAGGAAUAUUGGUCAAUGGGCGAGAGCCUGAACCAGCCAAGUCGCGUGAAGGAGAAGGUUCUAUGGAUUGUAAACUUCUUUUGCAGGGGAAUAAAGGACGGUACGUGUACUGUUUUGAUGUACCUUGCGAAUAAGGAUCGGCUAACUCCGUGCC